AUGAGACCCAGAUAGCAGCUGAUUCCGGGGCGGAUCCGCCCUCAGGUCGCUAGAUCCGCCCUCAGGUCGCCAGGUCGCUAGAUCCGCCCGCAGGUCGCUAGAUCCGCCCUACUGCCGCACUCGGUUUGGUCAUGUGAACCGGAUCCACCCGCAUCUGCAUCCGGUUCACACAGCGGCGGUUGUUCUAAAUCGUUGCUCCUCUGACUUCUGCGCCUCGACUUUCCAAACUGGAAUUUUCAAACCUGCAGCUCUUCGCGCCAGACAUAUUACUUAGUUUUACAGAAGUGUUCAUCAGGAUCGAUCUCUACAAUUCAGGAUGUUCCAUCUGAUUGAAUUCUUGGACAGCAAAACAGUAGCAGUCGUGCCACAAAGCUGGUACAGUGGUGGUGGCUGCGUUUGGCCAGAUUACCCGAGGGAUGAAAGGGUGGACAAGGCGGUCCGAAGUGCCGAAGAA